GAAUGUGUGUCUUAAGACAGUCAAGCGGUGGGGCCUGUCAACCCCCAGAGAGUCUCUGCCCGGUGUGAUACGAUGUUGAUUCAAGGUCCCCCCCCAUUAGUCUCCGUUUGCCGCAGUUGCUUCCGCUGUUUCAGGAAUUACAGCAGGAGUAAUUCCACAGACACUGGCUGGGCUGUGGUCAUCUGGUGGUUCGGCUGAACAUGCCUUUCAAGAAACUCAUCAGUGCGGAUUUUAGCCUGAAGCUCAGUUGAGCUGUGGACCAGAGUGCCCACUGUGACAUCUUCAGCAUCAUUAUCUAAAGGCAGACUUCUUACAUGGAACUCUGGACUCUCAAGGCAAACUCUCGCUUUGCUUACAGCUUACAUGCAAAAAGGAAAAUCAGGUGUCUGUAUGAUGUGUCAUAGCGACCAUUAAGCUCAGUUGUGUUGCACUGCUUGUGACAAAUGGCAAGAGUUCCUGAGGUUAGUUGUUUUCUUUGCUUGGUUUUUGUUUUUGUUGUUUUGGUAUUUUGAGACAGGAUUUCUCUGUAAAACAGUUCUGACCAUGGUUAGUUUUAACUCAAAAGAAGACAAUGCUCAUAUCAAGACCAGAUGAGGCAACCCAGUAGGAGAAAAAGGGUCCCAAGAGCAGUUGACAGAAUCAGAGACACCCCUGUUCCAACUGUUAGGAGUCCCACAAGAAGACUUAGCUACAUAGCAAUAACAUACAUGCAGAAUACCUAUCUCAGACCUGUGCAGGUUCCAUGAUAGUCGCUUCAGUUACUAGUUUAAUUGUAACUUGUUAUGCUGUGUUUGAUUGAUGUCCCUGGGAGGCUUGCUCCUUUUUAAAGUGAAGUAGAGAAGGAAGGGAUCUGGAGGAGAGAAGAGGUGAGGGAACUGGAGGGGAGGAACAAAGGGAAAUUUUAGUGGGGAUGUAAUUGAUGAAAGAAGAAAAAAAUAUAAAAAGAAAGGAACACUCCUCAAUGGGAAGAAUACCAAAGAGUUGAGUGAUGCUUUGAAAAUUCUUGAAACACAUUAUUUUAGAAUUCAAUCCAUGCUGGGAAGACUCAUAAACAGUGUUUAUGAGUGUUUAUUCUGUGCAGCACAAAGACAAAGUUUAUACUCUGGGAUCGAUGAACCAGCCUAAAAGAACCCUGAAUAAUGAAUGGACACUCAGUGGGCAGAGAAAUGGAAAAGAUCAAAACAUAUGGAAUGUGAGAAGGAAGAAGGCCUGGACAGAGCAGGAAGUAUCCUAUGCCUGGACCCAUGGAGGUUCCUGAGAGAUGGCACUGGUUCAUGCCACCGUGUGCAUACACGUCUGCAUAGUCAAAUGUGUAAACACCUGUACUUGCACUAAAAGUUAAUGGCGAGGGCCCCAACACAUUUCAUAUGACAGUGACCAUUUUGGCUUCCUUUCCUACUUCCAUGAGAAUGGAAAUGCUCACUGGGAGAUAGCUCUCAGCCAGUCCUUGUUAUUCACCACCCUAGCUGCUGGCUCUCAACUGCAUCAAUUACUCAGCAUCAGCAUAUAAGUGAAGUCAUCGAGAAUCAUGAAGACGUAAUGCCAUAGGUAAUAAGGUUUGGAACGAGUUGCUGUUUCUUCUACCUUUAAUAAUUUUCUGUUUUCCAUUUUUCAUCUGACAAUCAUCUAUAUUAACAGAAUUCCGAUAUUGUUUCAUUCUUUCCAAAGAGUGAUCAGUUGCUCAUAAAAUAGUCUAAAUAUAUCCCUCAAACUAUAAUAUCACAUUUUUAUUAUUUUUUAGCUGGAGCAUUCCUUUAGUUCUCAUCUCAUGAUCCAUCCUUACAUAAUGAAAUUCUGGGUGUAAUUUAAAAAAUAAUUGGCUAGCAUAAUCUAUUGCACAGAAAAAUCAUUUUGGGUCAUUAUAAAACCAGACUGCUUAUUAAUUGCUUAUGAGACCAGAGUAUAUUAUUUUAUUCCAUUAAUACAUUUUUGUAUUUAUGUAAAUUUUCUUCACUGUCAUUGUACAAAGUCAUUUUUAUUGUAUUAUUUUCAAGGUUAUAAGAGGGCUAGUGUGUCAGUUCCAGGUUUUCAAAGCCAAAUGCCAAUCACCCAUGCUCUAUAUGUUCCUGACUGGUUAAAUAAAAUAAGUCAUAUGGAA